GCCCAGGUGGCGGAAUUGGUAGACGCACCAGGUUCAGGUCCUGGCGGUAGCGAUACUGUGGGGGUUCGAGUCCCUUCCUGGGCACCA
rnacentral:tRNA from 1 species